rnacentral:rRNA from 1 species
AUUGAACGCUGGCGGCAGGCUUAACACAUGCAAGUCGAGCGGGGUGAUGGUGCUUGCACUAUCACUUAGCGGCGGACGGGUGAGUAAUGCUUAGGAAUCUGCCUAUUAGUGGGGGACAACAUCUCGAAAGGGAUGCUAAUACCGUAUACGUCCUACGGGAGAAAGCAGGGGAUCACUUGUGACCUUGCGCUAAUAGAUGAGCCUAAGUCGGAUUAGCUAGUUGGUGGGGUAAAGGCCUAACAAGGCGACGAUCUGUAUCAGGUCUGAGAGGAUGAUCCGCCACACUGGGACUGGGACACGGCCCAGACUCCUACGGGAGGCAGCAGUGGGGAAUAUUGGACAAUGGGGGGAACCCUGAUCCAGCCAUGCCGCGUGUGUGAAGAAGGCCUUAUGGUUGUAAAGCACUUUAAGCGAGGAGGAGGCUCUUUUGGUUAAAACCCAAGAUGAGUGGACGUUACUCGCAGAAUAAGCACCGGCUAACUCUGUGCCAGCCGCCGCUGUAA